rnacentral:rRNA from 1 species
AAGACCUUGCGCUUUUGGGGCGGCCGAUGUCUGAUUAGCUUGUUGGUAAGGUAAAAGCUUACCAAGGCUUCGAUCAGUAGCUGGUCUGAGAGGACGGCCAGCCACACUGGGACUGAGACACGGCCCAGACUCCUACGGGAGGCAGCAGUGGGGAAUUUUGGACAAUGGGGGCAACCCUGAUCCAGCCAUGCCGCGUGAGUGAAGAAGGCCUUCGGGUUGUAAAGCUCUUUCAGCCGGAACGAAACGGUUACGGUUAAUACCCGUGACUACUGACGGUACCGGAAGAAGAAGCACCGGCUAACUACGUGCCAGCAGCCGCGGUAAUACGUAGGGUGCAAGCGUUAAUCGGAAUUACUGGGCGUAAAGCGUGCGCAGGUGGUUUUGUAAGUCAGAUGUGAAAUCCCCGGGCUUAACCUGGGAACU